rnacentral:rRNA from 1 species
AAUAGAUACCCGGGUAGUCCACGCCGUAAACGAUGUGCACUAGGUCGUGAGGGUUUUGACACCAGCACGGCUGUAGCAAAAGUCUUAAGUGCACCGCCUGGGGAGUACGGUCGCAAGGCUAAAACUCAAAGGAAUUGACGGGGGCUCACACAAGCGGUGGAACAUGUGGCUUAAUUCGAAGCAACGCGAAGAACCUUAUCCUGGGCUUGACAUGCAUGGAUUAGCUCUGUGAAAGCAGAGUAACGCUCUUUGAGUGGAACAUGCACAGGUGCUGCAUGGCUGUCGUCAGCUCGUGCUGUGAAGUGUCGGGUUAAGUCCCUUAACGAGCGAACCCCUGCCGCUAGUUGCCAGCAAGUUAUGUUGGGGACUCUAGCGGGACUGCCGGUGUCAAACCGGAGGAAGGUGGGAUGACGUCAAGUCCUCAUGGCCCUUAUGCCCAGGGCUGCACACGUGUUACAAUGGCAUGUACAAAGCGCAGCGAUACCGCAAGGUGGAGCAAUCGCAAAAACA